GAUGAACGCUGGCGGCGUGCCUAAUGCAUGCAAGUCGAGCGAACAGACGAGGAGCUUGCUCCUCUGACGUUAGCGGCGGACGGGUGAGUAACACGUGGAUAACCUACCUAUAAGACUGGGAUAACUUCGGGAAACCGGAGCUAAUACCGGAUAAUAUAUUGAACCGCAUGGUUCAAUAGUGAAAGACGGUUUUGCUGUCACUUAUAGAUGGAUCCGCGCCGCAUUAGCUAGUUGGUAAGGUAACAGCUUACCAAGGCAACGAUGCGUAGCCGACCUGAGAGGGUGAUCGGCCACACUGGAACUGAGACACGGUCCAGACUCCUACGGGAGGCAGCAGUAGGGAAUCUUCCGCAAUGGGCGAAAGCCUGACGGAGCAACGCCGCGUGAGUGAUGAAGGUCUUCGGAUCGUAAAACUCUGUUAUUAGGGAAGAACAAAUGUGUAAGUAACUAUGCACGUCUUGACGGUACCUAAUCAGAAAGCCACGGCUAACUACGUG
rnacentral:rRNA from 1 species